rnacentral:rRNA from 1 species
ACGUAGGGUCCGAGCGUUGUCCGGAAUUAUUGGGCGUAAAGGGCUCGUAGGCGGUUUGUCACGUCGGGAGUGAAAACUCAGGGCUCAACCCUGAGCGUGCUUCCGAUACGGGCAGACUAGAGGUAUGCAGGGGAGAACGGAAUUCCUGGUGUAGCGGUGGAAUGCGCAGAUAUCAGGAGGAACACCGAUGGCGAAGGCAGAUCUCUGGGCCGUAACUGACGCUGAGGAGCGAAAGCAUGGGGAGCGAACAGGA